rnacentral:rRNA from 1 species
GACGGGACCGCACAAGCGGUGGAUGAUGUGGUUAAUUCGAUGCAACGCGAAAACCUUACCACCUUUGACAUGUACGGAACCUUUAGAGAUAGAGGAGUGCUCGAAAGAGAGCCGUAACACAGGUGCUGCAUGGCUGUCGUCAGCUCGUGUCGUGAGAUGUUGGGUUAAGUCCCGCAACGAGCGCAACCCUUGUCAUUAGUUGCUACAUUCAGUUGGGCACUCUAAUGAGACUGCCGGUGACAAACCGGAGGAAGGUGGGGAUGACGUCAAGUCCUCAUGGCCCUUAUAGGUGGGGCUACACACGUCAUACAAUGGAUGGUACAAAGGGUCGCCAACCCGCGAGGGGGAGCCAAUCCCAUAAAGCCAUUCGUAGUCCGGAUCGCAGUCUGCAACUCGACUGCGUGAAGUCGGAAUCGCUAGUAAUCGUGGAUCAGAAUGUCACGGUGAAUACGUUCCCGGGUCUU